rnacentral:rRNA from 1 species
UACGAAGGGGGCUAGCGUUGUUCGGAAUUACUGGGCGUAAAGCGCACGUAGGCGGAUUUGUAAGUCAGGGGUGAAAUCCCGGGGCUCAACCUCGGAACUGCCUUUGAUACUGCAAGUCUCGAGUCCGAUAGAGGUGAGUGGAAUUCCUAGUGUAGAGGUGAAAUUCGUAGAUAUCGGGAGGAACACCAAUGGCGAAGGCAGCUCGCUGGGACGGUACUGACGCUGAGGCGCGAAAGCGUGGGGAGCAAACAGG